rnacentral:misc_RNA from 1 species
AACGCACAUUGCACCCUCUGGUAUUCCAGGGGGUAUGCCUGUUCGAGCGUCAUUGCAACCCCUCAAGCACUGCUUGGUAUUGGAUGUCACUAUUUUUGUGCAUCUCAAAAGCAUUGGCAGCAGCACCUAGUCUCUAGUGUAGUAAAUUUCUCGCUAUGGGUCUAGGUGUCUGGCUGCCAGAACCCCUAGUUUUUCUACAAGGUUGACCUCGGAUCAGGUAGGGAUACCCGCUGAACUUAA